rnacentral:rRNA from 1 species
AGGUAGCAUAAUCAUUAGUUUUUUAAUUGNAAGCUGGAAUGAAAGGUUGGACGAGAAAACGACCGUCUCAAUUUAAUUUUAAUUAGAAUUUUAUUUUUAAGUAAAAAAGCUUAAAUAAUUUUAAAAGACGAGAAGACCCUAUAGAAUUUUAUAUAUUUUAAGAUAAAUGUUUUUAAGUUAAUUUUUAUUUUUAUUUAAAAAUAUAUUUUAUUGGGGCGAUAGAAAAAUUUAAUGAACUUUUUUUUUUAUAUAUCAUUAAUUUAUGAUUAAAUGAUCCAUACUUUAUGAUUAUAAGAUUAAAUUACCUUAGGGAUAACAGCGUAAUUUUU